CUGAUCUGCUGUCUUACUUGGACACCUUUAAUCAAGUUUCCUGCAACUUCCCCUUGGAGGAAUAUGCCUGUGCACAGCUGGACAACUUCACAGCCAAUCACCUGGCGUCUCUUCUGAUGUGUAAUCUUCCUGGGAACAGCGCUCACUCCAAAACUCUGUGGAAAAUCCUGCUCACGAAAGUCUCCGGCGUUUUAAACCCAGCCCUGGACAUCCUGGCUAACAUGCCGAUGCCCGUGAUUCCAUCAGCGUCACAGGUUUUGGAUGUGAUCGGAGAGAUCAGAGUGUUGCUGCUGACAGAUGAGCAGCUGCAGAACAGCG
ensembl:lncRNA